rnacentral:tRNA from 1 species
GCUGGCCGUAGCUCGGCUGCUGGGGCUGCUGGCCGUAGUUCGGCGGCGGCUGCGGGGCGGCGUAGGGGUCGUUCUGCUGCGGUGGCUGGCG